rnacentral:rRNA from 1 species
AGAGUUUGAUCAUGGCUCAGGACGAACGCUGGCGGCGUGCUUAACACAUGCAAGUCGAGCGGUAAGGCCCCUUCGGGGGUACACGAGCGGCGAACGGGUGAGUAACACGUGAGCAACCUACCCUCAACUUUGGGAUAAGCCUCGGAAACGGGGUCUAAUACCGAAUAUCACUCCUUGUUUCAUGGCGGGGGGUUGAAAGUUCUGGCGGUUGGGGAUGGGCUCGCGGCCUAUCAGCUUGUUGGUGGGGUAAUGGCCUACCAAGGCGUCGACGGGUAGCCGGCCUGAGAGGGCGACCGGCCACACUGGGACUGAGACACGGCCCAGACUCCUACGGGAGGCAGCAGUGGGGAAUAUUGCGCAAUGGACGAAAGUCUGACGCAGCAACGCCGCGUGAGGGAUGACGGCCUUCGGGUUGUAAACCUCUUUCAGCAGGGACGAAGCGAGAGUGACGGUACCUGCAGAAGAAGGACCGGCCAACUACGUGCCAGCAGCCGCGGUAAUACGUAGGGUCCGAGCGUUGUCCGGAAUUAUUGGGCGUAAAGGGCUCGUAGGCGGUUCGUCACGUCGGGGAGUGAAAACUCGGGGGCUUAACCCCGAGCCUGCUUCCGAUACGGGCAGACUAGAGGUAGGCAGGGGAGAGCGGAACUCCUGGUGUAGCGGUGGAAUGCGCGAUAUCAGGAAGAACACCGGUGGCGAAGGCGGCUCUCUGGGCCUUACCUGACGCUGAGGAGCGAAAGCGUGGGUAGCGAACAGGAUUAGAUACCCUAGUAGUCC